rnacentral:sRNA from 1 species
GCAAGGCCACAGAGACUGAUGUCUACAUUUAUCUAGAGAACGGGUACAUCACAGACAGUGGCAGUGCCUGCUUCUCCUACACUCUCCUGCCAACGUGCAUCAACCUGCACCUCCAGCAAGGGAGAGGGCCCAGGCUCCAUGUCCACUGAGUCCUGGCUAAU